UACGGAGGGAGCUAGCGUUGUUCGGAAUUACUGGGCGUAAAGCGCGCGUAGGCGGCUUUGUAAGUUAGAGGUGAAAGCCCGGAGCUCAACUCCGGAACUGCCUUUAAAACUGCAUCGCUUGAAUCCAGGAGAGGUGAGUGGAAUUCCGAGUGUAGAGGUGAAAUUCGUAGAUAUUCGGAAGAACACCAACGGCGAAGGCAGCUCGCUGGACCGCAACUGACGCUGAGGCGCGAAAGCUAGGGGAGCAAACAGG
rnacentral:rRNA from 1 species